CACACCAGUAAGUGCCACAUGUC
rnacentral:siRNA from 1 species